ACGGGCGGGGCGAGCGUUGUUCGGAUUUAUUGGGUGUAAAGGGUGCGCAGGCGGUCGCCUAAGUCAGAGGUGAAAAUUCUACGGCUCAACCGAGAACCUGCCUCUGAUACUGGACGACUUGAGUGCGGAAGGGGAGCGUGGAAUUCCUGGUGUGGCGGUGAAAUGCGUAGAUAUCAGGAGGAACACCGGUCGCGAAGGCGACGCUCUGGUCCGUAACUGACGGUCGUUCACGAAAGCCAGGGGAGCGAACGG
rnacentral:rRNA from 1 species